GGCCUAUUAGCUUAGUUGGUUAGAGCGUCAUGCUAAUAACGUGAAGGUCGCAAGUUUGAAACCUGCAUGGAUCA
rnacentral:tRNA from 1 species